CGCACUUUCUCAGCUCAUAUUUCCUCUUCUUCCCAACCUCCCUGUAUAGAUCUUUCUUAUUUUUCCUUUCUCUCUCUCUCUUUGAAUAACUGUCUACUACACAGCAACAGAUCCCUGUGACUCGGUGGCUAUCUCGCUUUUCUCAAAUGAUUUUUUCUCUUAUUUUCUUGAUCUCUCUUGUAUUUCGUUCGUGAGUAGCUUCUCUAUCCAUAUCUUUUUGCAGCUCAUGGAAUCAAUUUAGGGAACGACGUGAUUGUGAUUGAUAAUUUCUUCACUGAGGAAGGAGAACCUGGUGCACUUGUUUGGGAACCCGAGGUUCGAGCUCAUUCGUCACGAUGUGGUGGAUCCUAUUCUGUUAGAGGUGGAUCAGAUUUAUCACCUCGCUUGCCCUGCCUCACCCGUGCAUUCCAAGUACAAUCCCGUUAAGACCAUUACCAAUGUGAUGGAUACCCUUAACAUGUUGGGCCUUGCAAAGAGGAUUGGGACAAGGUUUCUGCCUCCAUGUCAGUGAUGGUCACAAUCUAACUGAUCGCCCAUCAACAAGAGUCAAAUCGGUUCCUGGUGGACAUUCAUCGCUUGGAUACUUGUUUGGAGAUAAGUGACAUUUUCUUUUAUAUAUAUAUAUAUAUGGAAUUUCCUGGUAGUGGUGCCUCUGAAAAGAAGUAUCAACAAUUAAGUAGUACAUCAAUAUGUGCUUUCGAUCUCUGGUAGUUUAUAUAUCAGUGAAAUCAGAUGUGUCAAGAAUAUGUUAACAUUAUAUUUGCUGUAAAUUUCAGUUUUAUGUUGGUUGAUCUUCUCAUAUCAUAUACUUAAAUUCAGUUGGCACAAAACUUGUUUAAUUCUUCGUGUUAUGUUAAUUGCGGAGCUUCGAUCUGUUGUUGAUUCACUGGUUGUAUAUUAAGUCUUUUAAUGAGUAUCAGAUUGUUACUUUUGCUUGUAAAGAUAGUAAUAUAUCAAUGGCUAACACUUCCGUUUUAAUUUUACGUGGAUCUGAUUAAGUUUUAUAGUUUAUUCUUCUUCUUGGCACAAUCACUAAACUUCCAAGUUCAAAGUUAAUUUAGAGUUCACAACCCUAUGGGUGCGCUUUCCGUUUUCUUCAUCAAGUUAUUCCCCUUCCUCCACAUUGUUAUUCCAGAAAAUAAAAACACUCACAACCACACACUUGAUAAAAACAGCAACGUACAGUUCUUCCUUUGUUAGUAAUUAAUUGUUUUAUACCUUGAUUAUUGUGUUGCAUAUUUUAUGUCGAAUGUAUUUUUAAUUUUAGGGGACUUUUCAGAUUGCAUUGUGGCGUGGAAUUCAAGUUGCUGUCAAAACUUUUGGGGAGGAAGUGUUCAAUGAUGAUGAAAAGGUAUUGGCAGCAGCUCAAACACCUGGUGAAUCAGGGUACUGCCGAUGUUGUAAGACAAUUUCUUUGGUUGUUUGAGGAUGCUGAGCAUAAAAACAUAGAGAACAUUCUGAUAUUGUGUGGUGAUCAACUCUAUCGAAUGGAUUACAUGGAACUAGUGCAGAAGCACAUCAAUUCAUGUGCUGAUAUAUCGGUUUCUUGUCUCCCUGUGGAUGGCAGAUAUUCUAAGUAAAGUUUCCCCUUAAGACCAUAUAUUCCAUGUUUUCAUUUUUAUAAAAAAAUUAUUUUCAUGUUAAAAAAUAUUGUUGUUUCUUUUAGAUAAUUUUAUCUUGAAUUUAUUGCUAUAUUCCAAAUAACGUUAACUGUUUUAUCUCUAAGUUAAUUGAAAA